GACAGAGGUGCCAAGCGUUAGGCGGAAUCACUGGGCUUAAAGCGUGUGUAGGCGGAUGUCUAAGUACCUUGUGAAAUCCCACGGCUCAACCGUGGAACUGCUUGGUAUACUGGAUGUCUUGAGCCAUCUAGGGGCUACCGGAACAAAUGGUGGAGCGGUGAAAUGCGUAGAUAUCUGGAGGAACACCGGUGGCGAAGGCGGCAUCCUGGACCGACACUGACGCUGAGGAGCGAAAGCCAGGGGAGCAAACGGG
rnacentral:rRNA from 1 species